UCCUGUUGACCUACACCCUCAGCCUUGGA
rnacentral:sRNA from 1 species